rnacentral:rRNA from 1 species
GGGUUGUGAGGUUAAGCGACUAAGCGUACACGGUGGAUGCCCUGGCAGUCAGAGGCGAUGAAGGACGUGCUAAUCUGCGAUAAGCGUCGGUAAGGUGAUAUGAACCGUUAUAACCGGCGAUUUCCGAAUGGGGAAACCCAGUGUGAUUCGUCACACUAUCAUUAACUGAAUCCAUAGGUUAAUGAGGCGAACCGGGGGAACUGAAACAUCUAAGUACCCCGAGGAAAAGAAAUCAACCGAGAUUCCCCCAGUAGCGGCGAGCGAACGGGGAGCAGCCCAGAGCCUGAAUCAGUGUGUGUGUUAGUGGAAGCGUCUGGAAAGGCGCGCGAUACAGGGUGACAGCCCCGUACACAAAAAUGCACAUGCUGUGAGCUCGAUGAGUAGGGCGGGACACGUGGUAUCCUGUCUGAAUAUGGGGGGACCAUCCUCCAAGGCUAAAUACUCCUGACUGACCGAUAGUGAACCAGUACCGUGAGGGAAAGGCGAAAAGAACCCCGGCGAGGGGAGUGAAAAAGAACCUGAAACCGUGUACGUACAAGCAGUGGGAGCCUCUUUAUGGGGUGACUGCGUACCUUUUGUAUAAUGGGUCAGCGACUUAUAUUCUGUAGCAAGGUUAACCGAAUAGGGGAGCCGAAGGGAAACCGAGUCUUAACUGGGCGUUAAGUUGCAGGGUAUAGACCCGAAACCCGGUGAUCUAGCCAUGGGCAGGUUGAAGGUUGGGUAACACUAACUGGAGGACCGAACCGACUAAUGUUGAAAAAUUAGCGGAUGACUUGUGGCUGGGGGUGAAAGGCCAAUCAAACCGGGAGAUAGCUGGUUCUCCCCGAAAGCUAUUUAGGUAGCGCCUCGUGAAUUCAUCUCCGGGGGUAGAGCACUGUUUCGGCAAGGGGGUCAUCCCGACUUACCAACCCGAUGCAAACUGCGAAUACCGGAGAAUGUUAUCACGGGAGACACACGGCGGGUGCUAACGUCCGUCGUGAAGAGGGAAACAACCCAGACCGCCAGCUAAGGUCCCAAAGUCAUGGUUAAGUGGGAAACGAUGUGGGAAGGCCCAGACAGCCAGGAUGUUGGCUUAGAAGCAGCCAUCAUUUAAAGAAAGCGUAAUAGCUCACUGGUCGAGUCGGCCUGCGCGGAAGAUGUAACGGGGCUAAACCAUGCACCGAAGCUGCGGCAGCGACACUAUGUGUUGUUGGGUAGGGGAGCGUUCUGUAAGCCUGUGAAGGUGUACUGUGAGGUAUGCUGGAGGUAUCAGAAGUGCGAAUGCUGACAUAAGUAACGAUAAAGCGGGUGAAAAGCCCGCUCGCCGGAAGACCAAGGGUUCCUGUCCAACGUUAAUCGGGGCAGGGUGAGUCGACCCCUAAGGCGAGGCCGAAAGGCGUAGUCGAUGGGAAACAGGUUAAUAUUCCUGUACUUGGUGUUACUGCGAAGGGGGGACGGAGAAGGCUAUGUUGGCCGGGCGACGGUUGUCCCGGUUUAAGCGUGUAGGCUGGUUUUCCAGGCAAAUCCGGAAAAUCAAGGCUGAGGCGUGAUGACGAGGCACUACGGUGCUGAAGCAACAAAUGCCCUGCUUCCAGGAAAAGCCUCUAAGCAUCAGGUAACAUCAAAUCGUACCCCAAACCGACACAGGUGGUCAGGUAGAGAAUACCAAGGCGCUUGAGAGAACUCGGGUGAAGGAACUAGGCAAAAUGGUGCCGUAACUUCGGGAGAAGGCACGCUGAUAUGUAGGUGAAGCGACUUGCUCGUGGAGCUGAAAUCAGUCGAAGAUACCAGCUGGCUGCAACUGUUUAUUAAAAACACAGCACUGUGCAAACACGAAAGUGGACGUAUACGGUGUGACGCCUGCCCGGUGCCGGAAGGUUAAUUGAUGGGGUUAGCGCAAGCGAAGCUCUUGAUCGAAGCCCCGGUAAACGGCGGCCGUAACUAUAACGGUCCUAAGGUAGCGAAAUUCCUUGUCGGGUAAGUUCCGACCUGCACGAAUGGCGUAAUGAUGGCCAGGCUGUCUCCACCCGAGACUCAGUGAAAUUGAACUCGCUGUGAAGAUGCAGUGUACCCGCGGCAAGACGGAAAGACCCCGUGAACCUUUACUAUAGCUUGACACUGAACAUUGAGCCUUGAUGUGUAGGAUAGGUGGGAGGCUUUGAAGUGUGGACGCCAGUCUGCAUGGAGCCGACCUUGAAAUACCACCCUUUAAUGUUUGAUGUUCUAACGUUGGCCCCUGAUCGGGGUUGCGGACAGUGUCUGGUGGGUAGUUUGACUGGGGCGGUCUCCUCCUAAAGAGUAACGGAGGAGCACGAAGGUUGGCUAAUCCUGGUCGGACAUCAGGAGGUUAGUGCAAUGGCAUAAGCCAGCUUGACUGCGAGCGUGACGGCGCGAGCAGGUGCGAAAGCAGGUCAUAGUGAUCCGGUGGUUCUGAAUGGAAGGGCCAUCGCUCAACGGAUAAAAGGUACUCCGGGGAUAACAGGCUGAUACCGCCCAAGAGUUCAUAUCGACGGCGGUGUUUGGCACCUCGAUGUCGGCUCAUCACAUCCUGGGGCUGAAGUAGGUCCCAAGGGUAUGGCUGUUCGCCAUUUAAAGUGGUACGCGAGCUGGGUUUAGAACGUCGUGAGACAGUUCGGUCCCUAUCUGCCGUGGGCGCUGGAGAACUGAGGGGGGCUGCUCCUAGUACGAGAGGACCGGAGUGGACGCAUCACUGGUGUUCGGGUUGUCAUGCCAAUGGCACUGCCCGGUAGCUAAAUGCGGAAGAGAUAAGUGCUGAAAGCAUCUAAGCACGAAACUUGCCCCGAGAUGAGUUCUCCCUGACUCCCUGAGAGUCCUGAAGGAACGUUGAAGACGACGACGUUGAUAGGCCGGGUGUGUAAGCGCAGCGAUGCGUUGAGCUAACCGGUACUAAUGAACCGUGAGGCUUAACCUUACAACGCCGAAG